rfam:Ophiocordyceps unilateralis strain SC16a Contig_778, whole genome shotgun sequence.
GCCCGGUUAGCUCAAUCGGUAGAGCGUAAGACUCUUAAUUAAGUGGCAUCUUAAGGCUGGGGGUUCGAGCCCCCCAUCGGGCU